rnacentral:rRNA from 1 species
CGAAUUUAGAGUUUAAUGUUAGCUCAGAAUGAACGCUAUCUAGAAGCAUUACACAUGCGAAUCGACAUAGGGAUUAACUCUAUGUGGGUGUACGGGUGAGUAUGAAUAGAAAUCUACCCAUUCAUCAACGAAUAGAAUAAUAAUAUAUAUAUUUUAUCAAUUAGGAUAUUUGUUAUACAAUAUAAUAAAUAUUAAUAUAUAAUAUAUAUGAAAUUCAACAUGGGUUGAAUCCAUUUCAAAUGAGUGGAUGAGUCUAUGAUGGGGGAGGUAGUUGGUAAGAUAAAAGCCUACCAAGCCUGAGAACCCUAGUUAAGUUUGAAAGAACCUAUGACCACAUUGGCUCUGAAACAACAGCCAAGAUUCUCUACCAGAGAGUCCAGCAGUGAGGAAUAUUGGUCAAUGAUCGCAAGAUUGAACCAGCUAUCUAGAAGAAUCUAAGAUUCUAACCAAAGAGAGGAUGAUGACGUUAUCUUUGUAUAAGUCUCGACCCAAUCUCGUGCCAGCCGUCGCGGUAAUACGAGUGAGGCAAGCGUUAUUCACCAUUAUUAGGUCUAGAGGGUGAGUAGGUGGUUUCUACAUCUAUAUUUAUUUGGAUGAAUGUAUUCAUUGGAAUCCAUCCUGUCCAUUUAAAUAAAAAUAAAUAAAUGAAACUAGAGUCGAAUGGAAGAAUAAAGAAUUUGGAGAGUAGAGAUGAAAUUCAAUGAUACUCCAAGGACUGCUCAUGGCGAAAGCAUUAUUCUAAUUCACGACUGACACUGAGGUACGAAAGCAUAAGUAGCGAAAAGGAUUAGAUACCCUUGUAGUUUAUGCUGUAAACGAUGAAUGCUAGAAAUUAGAAGGACUCCCUUUUAGUUUCUGAGGUGAAGACUUUAAGCAUUCCACCUGAGAAGUACUAUCGCAAGAUUGAAACUCAAAACAUUAGACGGUCACAGAGACCAGCAGUGAAGCAUGUUGUUUAAUUCGAUAACCCACGACAAAUCUUACCACUUCUUGCAUAUUCUAGUUCAGAGUUAAUGUGAAGAUAAUUUUUAUUUAUAAAUACUUAUACUAGUAUGAUAAAUGGAUUUUAAAUUCCCUUAACUACACUUGAAUACAGGUGUUGCAUGGCUGUUUUUAGUUCGUGUUGUGAAAUGUUAGGUUCAUUCCGUGAACGAACGUAAUCCUUAUCUUUAAUUACAAUGACAUUCAGAAUGAAUAAAAUUCAAUUGGAAUUUAUUGGAAUUCCAUUGAAUUCCGAAUGAAUAUUUAAUAAAACUCAUUCUGGAUUAUUGAAAUGCAAUUCUUUCAGUUCAUGAAUGAAGCAUUCAUAUUAACUUAAUUAAAGAAGUAUCUUUUGAUAAGAAAGAAUAAUUAGGCCGAAGACAAGUCCUCAUGACCCUUAUGGAGUGGGCUACAGACGUGCCACAAAGAUUUCUACAAAGGGAAGCAAAGAUGGAAGUCCGAGCCAAUCCUCAAAAGAAAUUAUUAAGUACGGAUAAGAAUCUGGAACUCGAUUCUUUGAAGAAGGAAUUGCUAGUAAUCGUUCAUCAGCAAGGAACGGUGAAACAAAAUAUCUGUGAUGUACUAACUACUCGUCAAGCGCAAAAAUCAUCAAGGAAUAUCAAGUUUCGAACGUCUAUUUCUUAGAGAUUUGUGCUAAGUCGAAAUAAGGUAGCUGUAGGGGAACCUGUAGCUGAAUAAUUGAAUGA